AUUGAACGCUGGCGGCAGGCCUAACACAUGCAAGUCGAGCGAGCGGCGGACGGGUGAGUAAUGUCUGGGAAACUGCCCGAUGGAGGGGGAUAAAUACCGGAAACGGUAGCUAAUACCGCAUACCCUCAGAUGUGUCCAGAUGGGAUUAGCGAGUUGGUGGGGUAAUGGCUCACCGAGGCGACGCUGCCUAGCUGGUCUGAGAGGAUGAUCAGCCACAUGGGGACUGAGACACGGUCCAAACUCCUACGGGAGGCAGCAGUGGGGAAUAUUGGGCAAUGGGCGCAAGCCUGACGGAGCCAUGCCGCGUGUAUGAAGAAGGCUUUCGGAUCGUAAAGCACUUUCGGUGGGGAGGCGGUACCCGCAGAAGAAGCAACGGCUAACUCCGUGCCAGCAGCCGCGGUAAUUC
rnacentral:rRNA from 1 species